AAAACACAAAGCUAUUAAAAGCACAAUGAUAGAAUAUAAAAUUGAGUUACAAAAAAAUAUAUGAAUGAUUUUACAGAGAAUCUUAACCUAUUUUUUUUGUUGUAUAUAAUGUAGUUGAAGAAGUUCUCUCUCCAACGGCAUAAGUGGAUCAUGGUUUCGACGUGUCUGCUGUGACAUGUAUUAUUUUUUUGUCAGGAUGCACAAAGCUAUAACAAACUUAUGGUUUCAGUAUUGUCGUUCUAAAAAACUUAAUAACAAACUUGCUGACAAUAGUUUAACCGAUGCGGCAUAGUUGAUAUCUAGCAGAGAUUUAUUUUGAACAUAAU
rnacentral:lncRNA from 1 species